rnacentral:rRNA from 1 species
AUUGAACGCUGGCGGCAUGCUUUACACAUGCAAGUCGAACGGCAGCGCGGGCUUUGGCCUGGCGGCGAGUGGCGAACGGGUGUGUAAUGCAUCAGAAUGUGCCCAGUAGUGGGGGAUAGCCCGGCGAAAGCCGGAUUAAUACCGCAUACGACCUGCUGGUGCUAGCGGGGGACCGAAAGGCCUCGCGCUAUUGUAGGGGUUGAUGCCGGACUAGCUAGUUGGUGGGGUAAAGGCUUACCAAGGCGGCGAUCCGUAGCUGGUCUGAGAGGACGAGCAGCCACGCUGGGACGGAGACGCGGCCCAUUGUGCUACGGGUGGCAGCAGUGGGGAAAUUGGGACAAUGAGGGCAACCCUGAUCCAGCCAUGCCGCGUGCUAAAAGAGGACCUUCGGGUUGUGAACCGCUUUUGUUCGGGAAGAAAUCCUCUGGGCUAAUACCCCAGGGGGAUGACGGUACCGGAAGAAUAAGCAACGGGUAACUACGUU